GGAAUCUUCCGCAAUGGACGAAAGUCUGACGGAGCAACGCCGCGUGAGUGAUGAAGGUUUUCGGAUCGUAAAGCUCUGUUGCCAGGGAAGAACGCCAAGGAGAGUAACUGCUCUUUGGGUGACGGUACCUGAGAAGAAAGCCCCGGCUAACUACGUGCCAGCAGCCGCGGUAAUACGUAGGGGGCAAGCGUUGUCCGGAAUUAUUGGGCGUAAAGCGCGCGCAGGCGGUCAUUUAAGUUUGGUGUUUAAGCCCAGGGCUCAACCCUGGUACGCACUGAAAACUGGAUGGCUUGAGUGCAGAAGAGGAGAGUGGAAUUCCACGUGUAGCGGUGAAAUGCGUAGAGAUGUGGAGGAACACCAGUGGCGAAGGCGACUCCCUGGUCUGUAACUGACGCUGAGGCGCGAAAGCGUGGGGAGCAAA
rnacentral:rRNA from 1 species